GAUCGAGUUGUAAUUUGAAGAAGCGUUUUCUGCGUAUUUGGUCAGCCUAAGUCCUAUUGAAUGAGGCAUCAUGGAGGGUGAUAAUCCCGUCCGGUUGAUCAUUUGCGUUUUACGAUACGCUUUCUAAGAGUCAAGUUGUUUGGGAUUGCAGCUUAAAAUGGGAGGUAAAUUUCUUCCUAAGGCUAAAUGACGGCGAGAGACCGAUAGCGAACAAGUACC
rnacentral:rRNA from 1 species